rnacentral:rRNA from 1 species
UGAAUACGAAAUGCUACGGCAUUGAAGUGAUCUAUGCCAGGCUUCCAAGAAAAUCUCGUCAUAUCUUAAGCAGUAGAUGCCUGUACCUUAAACCGACACAGGUAGGUAGGUAGAGUAUACCAAGGGGCGCGAGAUAACUCUCUCUAAGGAACUCGGCAAAAUAACCUCGUAACUUCGGAAGAAGAGGUACCCUUGAAAAAGGGUUGCAAUAACCAGACCCUGGCGACUGUUUACCAAAAACACAGGUCUCCGCUAAUUCGUAAGAUCAAGUAUGGAGGCUGACGCCUGCCCAGUGCCGGAAGGUUAAAGAAGUUGGUCAAUCUUUGGAUGAAGCUGGCGACUGAAGCCCCGGUGAACGGCGGCCGUAACGAUAACGGUCCUAAGGUAGCGAAGUUCCUUGUCGGGUAAGUUCCGACCCGCACGAAAGGCGUAACGAUCAGGGUGCUGUCUCGGAGAGAGACUCGGCGAAAUAGACAUGUCUGUGAAGAUGCGGACUACCUGCACCUGGACAGAAAGACCCUAUGAAGCUUUACUGUAUCUUGGAAUUGGGUUUGGGCCUUGCUUGCGCAGGAUAGGUGGGAGGCUGUGAAGAUAUUCUUGCGGGAAUGUUGGAGCCAACGGUGAGAUACCACUCUAGUAAGGCUAAAAUUCUAACUCUGAACCGUUAUCCGGUCAGAGAACAGUUUCAGGUGGGCAGUUUGACUGGGACGGUCGCCUCCUAAAAGGUAACGGAGGCGCGCAAAGGUUCCCUCAGGCUGGUUGGACACCAGUCGUAGAGUGUAAAGGCAUAAGGGAGCUUGACUGCGAGACCCACAAGUCGAGCAGAGACGAAAGUCGGCCUUAGUGAUCCGAGGGUUCCACGUGGAAGGGCCGUCGCUCAACGGAUAAAAGUUACUCUAGGAUAACAGGCUGAUCUCCCCCAAGAGUUCACAUCGACGGGGAGGUUUGGCACCUCGAUGUCGGCUCAUCGCAUCCUGGGGCGGUAGUACGUCCCAAGGGUUGGGCUGUUCGCCCAUGAAAGCGGUACGCGAGCUGGGUUCAGAACGUCGUGAGACAGUUCGGUCCAUAUCCGGUGCAGGCGUUAGAGCAUUGAGAGGAGUCCCCCUUAGUACGAGAGGACCGGGGGGAAUACACCGCUGGUGUACCAGUUAUCGUGCCAACGGUAAACGCUGGGUAGCCAUGUGUAGCGCGGAUAACUGCUGAAAGCAUCUAAGUAGGAAGCCCACCUUAAGAUGAGUGCUCUCACCGCUAUAAGCGGGUAAGGUCACGGUAAGAACAACCGUUAUAUAGGCAUUAAGUAUACGUGCAGUAAUGCAUUUAGCUGAGAUGUACAACAGACCGAGGGCUUGAUGAA